rnacentral:rRNA from 1 species
GACAGAGGGUGCAAACGUUGUUCGGAAUUACUGGGCGUAAAGCGCGUGUAGGCGGCCCUGCAAGUCGGAUGUGAAAUCCCACGGCUCAACCGUGGAAGUGCAUUCGAAACUGCAGGGCUAGAGUCCUGGAGAGGAAGGUGGAAUGCUUGGUGUAGAGGUGAAAUUCGUAGAUAUCAAGCGGAACACCGGUGGCGAAGGCGGCCUUCUGG